AUUGAACGCUGGCGGCAGGCCUAACACAUGCAAGUCGAGCGAGCGGCGGACGGGUGAGUAAUGUAUGGGGACUGCCCGAUAGAGGGGGAUAACUACUGGAAACGGUGGCUAAUACCGCAUACUAUCGGAUAACCCAUAUGGGAUUAGCUAGUAGGUGGGGUAAAGGCUCACCUAGGCGACGAUCUCUAGCUGGUCUGAGAGGAUGAUCAUCCACACUGGGACUGAGACACGUCCCAGACUCCUACGGAGGCAGCAGUAGGGAAUAUUCGGCAAUGGGCGAAAGCCGGACCGAGCAACGCCGCGUGUAUGAAGAAGGCUUGAGGGUCGUAAAGCACUGUCAGUGGCGAGGCGGUAUCUAAACAGAAAGCACCGGCUAACUCCGUGCCAGCAGCCGCGGUAAUAC
rnacentral:rRNA from 1 species